AUGCAUCAGCUGCUCCUUCCCACCUCCAGCACUUGGUGUGCUGUGCUCUCAUCCCUGCAUUCCAGCACAUGUGUCCUUGGAAGCUGUGAGCUGCCAGGACCUGUGUGGGUCCUGGAGGGUAUCCUGCAGGCUCUGGUCACUCCUGCCCCGUGCUCUUCAGACGUGCUGAGUCUCCACCUCAUUUCCUAUGCAUUGAACUUCCCAGACCUGCAGGACUCUCCGACAGCAAGGCGAGAAAGCCAUGCAGGGAGUCAGCAUGAGAGGGUCAUGCUGCGUCUGCACCCAUGGGCGAGGAUGCAAAGGGACCCUGCAGCAAUGCAUCGCCCUCACUGCAUUUGCAGAACUGCAGCAUUGCAACUUGGCAGCAGCACCCCACCUCCCACCCAUCCUCUUCCACACUUGCAUGAGGAGAAAGGCAAUGAAAAGCCACAGGUUUGUUUGGCUUUUGGUGCAUCUUGCAACAGAAACCAGGCAGCGCUGCCCCCCUCUAAACGCUGCCCUUGCUUUUUUGGGGGGAUACCAGAUAGGAUUUCAGCUGUGAUUAAAAUGUGCAGCGUGAGGUGGGCAUGUCAUAAACCUAGUGGUGACGGAUUGAUUUCAAUCCCAAACUUUUACACCCUGAGUCCUGAGCCUCUCCAGCAGCGAGCACAGCCAUGCGGGGAAGGUUUUAUGGAGCAUAAAGGCACAGGCUGCCAUAAAACUGGGGAGCGGGAGGAAGGCCAGCCCCGAUUAGGAGGCAGUGUGGGCAUGAA
rnacentral:lncRNA from 1 species